rnacentral:rRNA from 1 species
UGGCUCAGGACGAACGCUGGCGGCGUGCUUAACACAUGCAAGUCGAACGGAAAGGCCCUUCGGGGUACUCGAGUGGCGAACGGGUGAGUAACACGUGGGUGAUCUGCCCUGCACUUUGGGAUAAGCCUGGGAAACUGGGUCUAAUACCGAAUACACCUCGCUGGCCGCAUGGUCUGGUGGGGGAAAGCUUUUGCGGUGUGGGAUGGGCCCGCGGCCUAUCAGCUUGUUGGUGGGGUGAUGGCCUACCAAGGCGACGACGGGUAGCCGGCCUGAGAGGGUGACCGGCCACACUGGGACUGAGAUACGGCCCAGACUCCUACGGGAGGCAGCAGUGGGGAAUAUUGCACAAUGGGCGCAAGCCUGAUGCAGCGACGCCGCGUGGGGGAUGACGGCCUUCGGGUUGUAAACCCCUUUCAGCACAGACGAAGCGCACAGUGACGGUA